CACGUAGGGGGCGAGCGUUGUCCGGAUUUAUUGGGCGUAAAGAGCUCGUAGGCGGCUCAGUAAGUCAGGUGUGAAAACUCCAGGCUCAACCUGGAGACGCCACCUGAUACUGCUGUGGCUAGAGUCCGGUAGGGGAGCAUGGAAUUCCUGGUGUAGCGGUGGAAUGCGCAGAUAUCAGGAGGAAUACCCAUAGCGAAGGCAGCUCGCUGGGACGUUACUGACGCUGAGGCGCGAAAGCGUGGGGAGCGAACAGG
rnacentral:rRNA from 1 species